rnacentral:rRNA from 1 species
UACGGGUAGGUGCAGCGUGAUCGAAUUGUGGCGUAAAGAGCUCGUAGGCGGUCUGUCGCGUCUGCUGUGAAAACUCAGGGCUUAACCCUGAGCUUGCAGUGGGUACGGGCAGACUAGAGUGCGGUAGGGGGCCAUGGAAUUCCCGGUGUAGUGGUGGAAUGCGUAGAGAUCGGGAGGAACACCAGUGGCGAAGGCGGUGGCCUGGACCGAUGCUGACGCUGAGGCGCGAAAGCGUGGGGAGCGAUCCGG